rnacentral:tRNA from 6 species
GGUCCCAUAGCUCAGUUGGUUAGAGCAUCUGACUCAUAAUCAGAGGGUCACUGGUUCGAGCCCAGUUGGGACCA